GCUGCGCAGGGCGCCAGCAGAGCCCAGCAUCUCGUGGGGAACCGCCUAGCGCAGCGCCCCCUGGUGGGGGAAGGUCCUCUCGGAGCUGGGCCCGGGGGUUGCCAACCCUCCCAGUUUGGCCAGGAGUCUCUGGGAAUUGGGCUUGAUCUCCUGGAGGCUACUGAAACCAAUCCGGGAGAUUUUAGGUUGCUAAAAGUCCGGCGGCCCAGCAGGACUAAGGCAGGCUCCCUACCUGCCCCGGCUCCAUGCUGCUCCCGGAAGUGGCGAUAUGUCCGGCAGCAGCUCCUAGAAGGAGGUGCAGCCAGGGAGUCUCUGUGCGCUGCUCCCACCCCGAGCACCAACCAUAGGCGCCAACUUCUCCUUUCACAUUUUAAAAAUAAUAAACAUGGAAAUAUAAACUUUG